rnacentral:lncRNA from 1 species
ACCACACCUCCUCGUGCCUUAUUGCUUAAGUAUAUACGAAUAUUUACCAAGAAGUUAGUUUUCGAAUCAACUGCUUUGAAUCAUUCAAAUAUCUUGGCGCUUAGCAAGUAAGUCAAUCAGAUGCCAGCUGAGCGUGAAAGUUCAGUUGCCUUGGCUGUUCAUGAGGUACCAGAGAACCUGUUUAAUCUCAUAGAAGAGGGAAAGGACCUGAACAUGAGUGCAGCUUGUCACGAUUUGGCUAACCAACAUUACUUCAACCACAUGGCUGGGUCAAGCUACCAAAUGACUAAAGAUCUGUGCCUCGACACAAUCCCAUCUCGAAGCUCUACGGACAAUUCCUUCAACAUCAUGGCUUGGUUGUUGAUCUGACAUGCACUGUCAACUGUGG